AAAAAAAACUCAAAAAAAACGGCGGCCGAGGGUGUUUUUUGACGGUUUUUCUGGUGUUUUUGGGUGUUUUUUGGUUGUUUUUUUGGCGAUUUUGGACGAUUUUGGCGCAUUUUCACGCUUUUUUCAUAGGAAAAAAGGGGGCUUAGCCGGACUUGAACAGAAGAAUC
rnacentral:ribozyme from 1 species